UACGUAGGUGGCAAGCGUUGUCCGGAUUUAUUGGGUUUAAAGGGUGCGUAGGCGGUUCUAUAAGUCAGUGGUGAAAUACGGCAGCUCAACUGUCGAGGUGCCAUUGAUACUGUAGGACUAGAGUACUGUUGAGGUAGGCGGAAUGGACGGAGUAGCGGUGAAAUGCUUAGAUAUCGUCCAGAACACCGAUAGCGAAGGCAGCUUACUAAAGAGUAACUGACGCUGAGGCACGAAAGUGUGGGGAUCAAACAGG
rnacentral:rRNA from 1 species